UUUGGACUUCACACCUAAGUGCAACCAGUUUGAUCUGGGAUUAUGGCUGAUAUGCCACCCAAACAAUAAUGGAUAUUUUUCAACUGUUAAUUUAUGUCUCUAGAAAAUCAAUAGUAACUUAACAUAUUCAAUUUUACCAUCAAAUUAGAAUGAGGUUGCAGAGCUUAAUUACUGUAGAAAGAGCUUUAUAAAUAUUUUAAGUAGGUGAUAG
rnacentral:lncRNA from 1 species